GGGGCUGUAGCUCAGUUGGGAGAGCACCUGCUUUGCAAGCAGGGGGUCGUGGGUUCGAUUCCCUCCAGCUCCACCA
rnacentral:tRNA from 1 species